rnacentral:rRNA from 1 species
UACAGAGAGUGCGAACGUUGUUCGGAAUUACUGGGCUUAAAGCGCACGUAGGCGGCGCCGCAAGUGCGGGGUGAAAUCCCACGGCUUACCCGUGGAACUGCCUUGCAGACUGUGGUGCUAGAGGAUGGUAGGGGAGAGCGGAACUCCUGGUGGAGCGGUGAAAUGCGUAGAUAUCAGGAGGAACACCGGUGGCGAAAGCGGCUCACUGGACCGUGUCUGACGCUGAGGUGCGAAAGCUAGGGUAGCGAACGGG